rnacentral:rRNA from 1 species
UUGACCUCAAAUCAGGCGGGACUACCCGCUGAACUUAAGCAUAUCAAUAAGCGGAGGAAAAGAAACUAACAAGGAUUCCCCUAGUAACUGCGAGUGAAGCGGGAAGAGCUCAAAUUUAAAAUCUGGCGUCUUCGGCGUCCGAGUUGUAAUUUAGAGAAGCGUUUUCCGCGCUGGACCGUGUACAAGUCUCCUGGAACGGAGCGUCAUAGAGGGUGAGAAUCCCGUCUUUGACACGGACCCCCAGUGCUCUGUGAUACGCUCUCGAAGAGUCGAGUUGUUUGGGAAUGCAGCUCAAAAUGGGUGGUGAACUCCAUCUAAAGCUAAAUAUUGGCGAGAGACCGAUAGCGAACAAGUACCGUGAGGGAAAGAUGAAAAGCACUUUGGAAAGAGAGUGAAACAGUACGUGAAAUUGUUGAAAGGGAAACGCUUGAAGUCAGUCGCGUUUGCCGAGACUCAGCCUCCGGGUGUACUUCUCGGUGGACGGGCCAGCAUCACUUUCGAUCAUCGGAAAAGGGCGAGGGGAAUGUGGCACCUCCGGGUGUGUUAUAGCCUCUUGUCGUAUACGGUGACCGGGAGUGAGGACCGCCUUUGUAGGAUGCUGGCGUAAUGGCUUUAAACGACCCGUCUUGAAACACGGACCAAGGAGUCUAACAUGCCCGCGAGUGUUUGGGUGGAAAACCCAUGCGCGUAAUGAAAGUGAAAGUUGGGAAGGCUGUCGUGGCCUGCACCGACGCCCGGACUUGAGAUUUAUCGAAGGUUCUGCGGUAGAGCGUGUAUGUUGGGACCCGAAAGAUGGUGAACUAUGCCUGAAUAGGGUGAAGCCAGAGGAAACUCUGGUGGAGGCUCGUAGCGA